CUUUGAGUUGAUAUUAGACAAUUAGAUCAUGUCUGAAUUGGUAAGUAAUCCAGCUGUUCAAUCGACCGAU
rnacentral:tRNA from 1 species